GGGUAACCUGCCUUACACCGGGGGACAACAGUUGGAAACGACUGCUAAUACCGCAUAAGACCACGGAGCCGCAUGGCCCUGGGGUAAAAGAUUUAUCGAUGUAAGAUGGACCCGCGUCUGAUUAGCCAGUUGGCGGGGUAACGGCCCACCAAAGCUACGAUCAGUAGCCGACCUGAGAGGGUGAUCGGCCACAUUGGGACUGAGACACGGCCCAAACUCCUACGGGAGGCAGCAGUGGGGAAUAUUGGGCAAUGGGCGCAAGCCUGACCCAGCGACGCCGCGUGAGUGAAGAAGUAUUUCGGUAUGUAAAGCUCUAUCAGCAGGGAAGACAAUGACGGUACCUGACUAAGAAGCACCGGCUAAAUACGUGCCAGCAGCCGCGGUAAUACGUAUGGUGCAAGCGUUAUCCGGAUUUACUGGGUGUAAAGGGAGCGUAGGUGGUAUGGCAAGCCAGAAGUGAAAACCCGGGGCUCAACCCCGCGGAUUGCUUUUGGAACUGUUGAACUAGAGUGCUGGAGGGGUAAGCGGAAUUCCCAGUGUAGCGGUGAAAUGCGUAGAUAUUGGGAGGAACACCGGAGGCGAAGGCGGCUUACUGGACAGUAACUGACACUGAGGCUCGAAAGCGUGGGGAGCAAACAGGAUUAGAUA
rnacentral:rRNA from 1 species